rnacentral:rRNA from 1 species
AAUCAACGCUGGCGGCGUGCCUCAGACAUGCAAGUCGAACGAUUAAGACUUCCUUCGGGAAGUGCAUAAAGUGGCGCACGGGUGAGUAACACGUAAGUAAUCUACCCUCGAGUGGGGAAUAACGUUCGGAAACGGACGCUAAUACCGCAUAAUGCAGCGGCAUCGCAAGAUGACAGUUGUUAAAGGAGUAAUUCGCUUGAGGAGGAGCUUGCGGCAGAUUAGCCAGUUGGUAAGGUAAUGGCUUACCAAGGCUACGAUCUGUAUCCGGUCUAAGAGGACGGUCGGACACACUGACACUGAAUAACGGGUCAGACUCCUACGGGAGGCAGCAGUCGGGAAUUUUGGGCAAUGGGCGAAAGCCUGACCCAGCAACGCCGCGUGAAGGAUGAAGUAUUUCGGUAUGUAAACUUCGAGAGAAUGGGAAGAAUAAAUGACGGUACCAUUUAUAAGCUCCGGCUAACUACGUGCCAGCCGCCGCGGUAAGAC